AUACGGAGGGUGCAAGCGUUAUCCGGAUUCAUUGGGUUUAAAGGGUACGUAGGCGGAUAGAUAAGUUAGUGGUGAAAUCCCGAAGCUCAACUUCGGAACUGCCAUUAAAACUGUCUAUCUUGAAUUUGGUUGAAGUGGGCGGAAUAUGACAUGUAGCGGUGAAAUGCAUAGAUAUGUCAUGGAACACCAAUAGUGAAGACAGCUCACUAAGCCAAUAUUGACGCUGAGGUACGAAAGCAUGGGUAGCGAACAGGAUUAGAAACCCGGGUAGUCC
rnacentral:rRNA from 1 species